ACGGAGGGUGCAAGCAUUAAUCGGAUUUAUUGGGCGUAAAGGGCGCGUAGGCGGUAAGAUAAGUCAGAUGUGAAAUCCCGGGGCUCAACCUCGGAACAGCAUUUGAAACUAUCUUUCUAGAGGGUAGGCGGAGAAAACGGAAUUCCACAAGUAGCGGUGAAAUGCGUAGAUAUGUGGAAGAACACCGGUGGCGAAGGCGGUUUUCUAGCUUAUUCCUGACGCUGAGGCGCGAAAGCAAGGGGAUCAAACAGG
rnacentral:rRNA from 1 species